AUUGAACGCUGGCGGAAUGCUUUACACAUGCAAGUCGAACGGUAGAGGGGGCAACCCCUCGAGAGUGGCGAACGGGUGAGUAAUAUAUCGGAACGUGCCCAGUCGUGGGGGAUAACGUAGCGAAAGUUACGCUAAUACCGCAUACGAUCUACGGAUGAAAGCGGGGGAUCGCAAGACCUCGCGCGAUUGGAGCGGCCGAUAUCAGAUUAGGUAGUUGGUGGGGUAAAGGCUCACCAAGCCGACGAUCUGUAGCUGGUCUGAGAGGACGACCAGCCACACUGGGACUGAGACACGGCCCAGACUCCUACGGGAGGCAGCAGUGGGGAAUUUUGGGACAAUGGGCGCAAGCCUGAUCCAGCAAUGCCGCGUGCAGGAAGAAGGCCUUC
rnacentral:rRNA from 1 species